UACGGAGGGUGCGAGCGUUGUCCGGAAUCACUGGGCGUAAAGGGCGCGUAGGCGGCCUGAUAAGUAGGGGGUGAAAUCCUGCGGCUUAACCGCAGGGCUGCCUUCUAAACUGUCAGGCUUGAGCACAGUAGAGGCAGGUGGAAUUCCCGGUGUAGCGGUGGAAUGCGUAGAGAUCGGGAAGAACAUCAGUGGCGAAGGCGGCCUGCUGGGCUGUUGCUGACGCUGAGGCGCGGACAGCGUGGGGGAGCAAACAGG
rnacentral:rRNA from 1 species